rnacentral:lncRNA from 1 species
GGCAGCGGCCAGGCAAGAGACGGUCCGCGAUGCAGCCGCGCCGGACCGAAGCCGCGGGCCCGCCCGGCGGAGGGGUGGACCAGGCGGCGGCGGCGGAUGGGACAGCGGCACCUGUACCCCUCGGAGGGCAGACGCGGUAGAGCUGGAGAAGCUCCUCGCCGGGGUAAAAACCCAAAAGAGGGGGAGGGGAGGCAGCAGAGAAGGAGCUUCUAGAAACUCCCUUCUGAGGCAGCAGCUGGACGGUUUAGGAAACCCGCACAACGCCUGGGAAAACGGUCCUUGAAGCUGAGCCUAGAAUGAAAUCAUGCAUCAACCAAGACAUACUGAGUUCCUCCUCCUCUGAUAACUUUGUUAUUGGAUCCCAGCCAUUUGCCUGGUUUCUUCUUCUUUGGAAUCAGUUUUCUUUAUAGUUUUUAACCACAAUUAGACUUCUUUGGAGCCAACGCAUCAAUUCAUCAGGCAUAAUAGGAUAUUCUUGAAGUUCAGCAAUGAACCCAGUUAUGUCUUUUUUCCAGAAAGUUUCUAUGUCACUGGAAGAUCUAUUCUAUAACUUGUCUAACUAUGCAAAAAUCCCACCAUUAGAUUGUGCAAAGGUAGUAGCUUAAUGUGAGAUUUCUGCUACAUGGUUUAUAAUUCUGUAGAAACACAACAUAAAAUCAUGUGGCUUAAAGAGAAUUAGGAGACAGCACCUCAAUAACUCAUUAACUGCUAGCAGUAUCACAUAAAACAUGUUUUUAUAAACACAUACAUAAGAAUUAAAUUGAUUUACUAGAAAAUUCUUAUCGCUCUUUAUUUGCUGAGUCAAUGGCUAUUUCCACAAGUAUAGUUGCAGGUAAAAUCUCAUAACUUACAGCUGAAAUACUUAGCCUUUUGACAUAGUGCCAUGAUUAGCAAAGUCUCAGAAACAUUAGUCACUUUGAUUGGCCACUCUAUAUAAGGACUAAUUCAGUUCUUAAGUUACUUUAGGAAAAGAUUGGUCAUAAUUCUACCAUAUUUAUGAAAACCGUCUUGAGUUUCUUUGGCUGUUGAAGGCUUCUUUCUUUUAAACCAUUUAAUAAUUGUCAUAGACUUGGAUGGUAUUAUGCUUAGUGAAAUAAGUCAGAUAGAUANNNNNNNNUACUGUAGGUUAUAAUUUAUAUGUGAUAUCUACAAAGUAAAUCAAACUAAUGAUGAUAGCAAAACAAAAAAUAGACACAGAUAUAAAGGAAAAAAUCUAGUGGCUACCAGUGGGAGAGAGAAAAGAGUAGGGCCUAUUGAGAGGUAGAAU